UGAAAUAAGGCCAAAUCUGCCGAUUCGUCUCAACCAAUAUUCCACACCUUGACAGAGUAUUAUUUGUAAAAAUAUUCUACGCUAUGAAUGAUCAUUCACAUCCAAGUUCAGUAUAUCAUCUCUUUUAACUUGUAAGCUUUGUAAUGUAAUAAUUGGUUACACCAUGAUAAUAUCAUAUUGUUCACUCCGCUAUUAGCAUACGUUAUACAUUACUGUACACACGUGGUGAUAGGCGUUAGAUGUCGAGUCAUGAGACCAUUACUCGCGCGUCUAUGUUUUGUAAAAUCGUUCGUCGCCGUUGUUUUAGAUUCGAUUUUUAAACUUGGCAUACAAGAAUAAUAAAAUCGAAUGAGCACGUGAUAUGUAUGUAUAAGUGUGCGUGUGACGUCGAAGGCACCGAAGCACUCAAUUAACUUGCAAAUAAUAUCGAGCGUCGUUUACAGUAAAAGUAAUAGAAAGGUGUUUUAAUCGUCAAAUACAGAGCCCCAGAAUACACAUAUAAUUAAUAAUAAACAAUUACUGAGAUAUUUGAAGCCAACAGAUUAAGCAACGCAAGUGGAAAUGGAUAGGUCAUACAUUCCGAAGAGAUUCCAAUUAUAUCACCAUGCUGGCGGUCGAUUGGAACCCGCAAGGAAAGCGGAAGAGUGACAGUCCCAAGCAAAACCUCCUGGCGUACUUUUGCUGAUGAGGCUGGAAAUGAGACCUGGAAAGAGCGAGGUCAAAUACGAGACUCAAGACUGAACGCGAUGGAGACUCAUUGCGGACGUCCUUUGCCUUAUCCCUAGAUAGAACUAUAAGAUAUAGUUAUAGAAAAUAAAGUCUGUCAAAUGUUGUUGAAAAUCAUUUUUGUUUUUAUUUAUGUGAUGCAAACUUCUGGAUAGAAAUGUUUCUAUACCGACAUUUUAUUACCAAUCAAUUCUUAAUUUAUAGCGUUCUACAACAAUGGUUUAAAAUCCUCCUGUUGGCAGAAGUUCAACGAUAUGUAAAGAUAUAUACUUAGUGUUUUCACUUCUGAUUAAAAUAAUUAUCCAGUCACACUAUAAUA